rnacentral:rRNA from 1 species
UGGGGAAUAUUGGACAAUGGGCGAAAGCCUGAUCAAGCCAUGCCGCGUGUGUGAAGAAGGUCUUCGGAUUGUAAAGCACUUUAAGUUGGGAGGAAGGGCAGUAAGCGAAUACCUUGCUGUUUUGACGUUACCGACAGAAUAAGCACCGGCUAACUCUGUGCCAGCAGCCGCGGUAAUACAGAGGGUGCAAGCGUUAAUCGGAAUUACUGGGCGUAAAGCGCGCGUAGGUGGUUCGUUAAGUUGAAUGUGAAAGCCCCGGGCUCAACCUGGGAACUGCAUCCAAAACUGGCGAGCUAGAGUAGGGCAGAGGGUGGUGGAAUUUCCUGGGUAGCGGUGAAAUGCGUAGAUAUAGGAAGGAACACCAGUGGCGAAGGCGACCACCUGGGCUCAUACUGACACUGAGGUGCGAAAGCGUGGGGAGCAAACAGG